rnacentral:rRNA from 1 species
UACGAAGGGUGCAAGCGUUGAUCGGAAUUACUGGGCGUAAAGCGUGCGUAGGCGGUUUCCUAAGUCCGUUGUGAAAGCCCUGGGCUCAACCUGGGAGCGGCAGUGGAUACUGGGAAGCUGGAGUGCGGUAGAGGAUGGUGGAAUUCCCGGUGUAGCGGUGAAAUGCGUAGAGAUCGGGAGGAACACCGGUGGCGAAAGCGCCGUGCUGGUCCUGCACUGACGCUGAGGGGCGAAAGCUUGGGGAGCGAACAGG